rnacentral:lncRNA from 1 species
CUUUGUUUAUUAUUGGCAUCGCAGCAUCCCAAAAGUUCGUCUGCAGUCUGCGGUUUCCGGCUCCGCUAUACGCUGACUUCGCUCCCGUUCGAAGAUACGAAGAGUUGUUACAGCUCCCAACCAAAGAGUGGUGUUACAUGAAGGUUUCAGUUUGAUUGAAAGUUGAAAAUUAAAAGUUUUAGUUGCUUGAUUGUAAAAUUUUCAUAACGAAACCGUCAACGUAAACAUUUCUUUUGCUUUCUUGGUUGCCCAAUUGUAAUACCUGUAUUUCCCAGUGGCUUCACGUCCCCUUGCACGUGGUUCAAACAUUGCAGUCUUAUGAUAUAUAUGAAAAAGCCCAGAUUACCUGGUCCUGCUAAAAAAAUACCCAAAUACGUUGUUCAGGGAAAAAGCUUAUUUGACUUUGACCUUUUAGUGCUGAAAACUGCAGUAUCUUCGGAAGGCAGCCCCGCUGAGCCACGAGAUUAUUGGAUGGUACCAGAAGAAGCAUGAAGACACAAAAAAGAAAUGUGAGAUUGAUGGUGGAAGUUUUGUGCACUUUUGUUCUAAGAUUUUGUCCCUUUGUUGGGUUACUCUAGAGAAUUUGAUGAAGUGUAAUGCCACUUAUUAGAUGUAAGAACUAUUUGAUCCUCACCAGAGGAGUGCCUAUCACCAUAUGACACAACUUUUAUCUAGCUAGUAUUGGAAUUGCUUCCUUCUUUAAAAUACCUACUGAAAAGCCCCUUGAGUAGUGACUCUUGAAUCGCCAUGCGUCAAACAAUGGAGAACCACUGUCAACCCAGCAACAAUAGCAAAAUGGCCGAGAUUUCUGGAGGUGUUAAGCUCUGUGUUGCUGAAGAUGCCAAUCGAACGACAGGAGAAUGAUGCAGUCACCUCAUAAUUCACAAGGGAAAAUUAUUGUCACAAAAAAAAAGUAACUUGAGAAUUGCACGAGUUAUAUCACGCUAACUGUUUGUUGCUCACGUUUAAUUGUAAAUUGGAUCCGGAUAAUCUGUGAAAAGUAAUGCUCGACUUACUAUGUUGCCCAGUGUGACCAAACCGGACGUAGAAGAGGGGAAUGGCGGGGAAGUUUCUUACGUUUCAAGCACAUGCCGGAAGAUGUUGUGGAGUACGAUUGAAGUCCGCCACGGUCAUCUGACUGAAAGGUGGAUAAGUCCAAGUCAAAUUAAAGAAGGUCUGCAGCGGUGGAAAUCUAAUUGGAGACUUUCCAUUUCAUUUUGGUCUUGAGAAAAGGUCAAUAUCCUUAUCAAGAAUAGGAAACGAUAUCGGAGGAGGAUUUUCAUUUAAAGAACGAUGGAUCUUAUUUCGACACUUUGUGCAGUUUAGUUGGGUAUCGCAAAACUAACCACGUGAGGCUCCGGAACCCAAAAUUUGUUUCGACAAACCCGUUUCUCAUCUUCGUACUCACGUAGGGGAAAACUGGUUCCAUCUAAGUAUUGGACAGGCAGGAGCUGUCAUUGAGCAAUUUCAUUCCAUUUAACCAUUAUAAUAUGGUCGAGUCCCGUGUUCGAUCGGGCGAAAGUUAUUGGAAAUCAAUUCUGAAUAGUCUAGAAAACCUGAUUGGUGUUAACAUGAGCAAGUUUUAUCUUCCACGUCAUUUAAUUAGGAUUGCAAUGUUAAUUAAUUUUUUUUUUUUUAUUUUAAAGUUAUUACGCAGAGGAUACAGCUUGUAAUUGGAAGUUCGUCGAUAUCUCUACAUCAACGUGGAUCAUGUUUUAUUUUUUCUCAUUUUGUUGUACAUCAUGACAGAUGUUACAUCGUUCGUUUGAGGAAGGAAUACAUCUGGCGUCACUGGCCACCAGCGAAGCCGCGUAAGUCCAAGCGUACGUUCGUAACGGUUUUCUUUAACCCUGCAGGCCUACAGUUCGGCAUUGGCCUAGGGUAUGUCACUGUCAGCCAGGUUAAGUUGAAGCUGUUUGUUGUACCUUGCUAAAUGGUUGAUGUUCGAGCUGUGCCUAAAAUUGCCGUAUGGUGUUGCAGUCGAAUAUGCUGAUGCUGUUUUCUGCUUGUCACCUGGUUUGAAGAGUACUUGAACAAAACAGAAUUCUCGUUGCUGGUCAUUUUCCAUUUUC